rnacentral:rRNA from 1 species
AUUGAACGCUGGCGGCAGGCUUAACACAUGCAAGUCGAGCGGAGAUGAGGUGCUUGCACCUUAUUUUAGCGGCGGACGGGUGAGGAAUGCUUAGGAAUCUGCCUAUUAGUGGGGGACAACAUUCCGAAAGGAAUGCUAAUACCGCAUACGCCACACGGGGGAAAGCAGGGGAUCUUCGGACCUUGCGCUCAUAGAUGAGCCUAGGUCGGAUGAGCUAGUUGGUGGGGUAAAGGCCUACCAAGGCGACGAUCUGGAGCGGGUCUGAGAGGGUGGUCCGCCACACUGGGACUGGGACACGGCCCAGACUCCUACGGGAGGGAGCAGUGGGGAAUAUUGGACAAUGGGCGGAAGCCUGAUCAAGCCAUGCCGCGUGUGUGAGGAAGGGCUUUUGGUUGUAAAGCACUUUUAGCGAGGAGGAGGCUACCUGGAUUAAUACUCUAGGAGAGUGGACGUUACUCUCAGAAUAAGCACCGGCUAACUCUGUGCCAGCCGCCGCCGUAAGAC